rnacentral:rRNA from 1 species
UACAGAGGUCUCAAGCGUUGUUCGGAUUCAUUGGGCGUAAAGGGUGUGUAGGUGGCGCGCUAAGUCGGGUGUGAAAUUUCGGAGCUUAACUCCGAAACUGCAUUCGAUACUGGCGUGCUUGAGGACUGGAGAGGAGACUGGAAUUCAUGGUGUAGCAGUGAAAUGCGUAGAGAUCAUGAGGAAGACCAGUGGCGAAGGCGGGUCUCUGGACAGUUCCUGACACUGAGGCGCGAAAGCCAGGGGAGCAAACGGG